AUUGAACGCUGGCGGCAUGCCUUACACAUGCAAGUCGAACGGUAACAGGUCUUCGGAUGCUGACGAGUGGCGAACGGGUGAGUAAUACAUCGGAACGUGCCUAGUAGUGGGGGAUAACUACUCGAAAGAGUGGCUAAUACCGCAUGAGAUCUACGGAUGAAAGCAGGGGAUCGCAAGACCUUGUGCUACUAGAGCGGCCGAUGGCAGAUUAGGUAGUUGGUGGGAUAAAAGCUUACCAAGCCGACGAUCUGUAGCUGGUCUGAGAGGACGAUCAGCCACACUGGGACUGAGACACGGCCCAGACUCCUACGGGAGGCAGCAGUGGGGAAUUCUGGACAAUGGGCGAAAGCCUGAUCCAGCAAGGCCGCGUGCAGGAUGUAGGCCUUCGGGUUGUAAACUGCUUUUGUACGGAACGAAAAGCCCCGGGUUAAUACCCUGGGGUCAUGACGGUACCGUAAGAAUAAGCACCGGCUAACUACGUGCCAGCAGCCGCCGUAA
rnacentral:rRNA from 1 species